CUCCUGCCACGUCACUCCGCUCUCACCGCGUACCGUCACCCCACACGCUGCCUGCCGUCUUUCUCUUAAAGACCGGGAACCCGAACGGCAGGACACCGCACUCUGCUAUGGAUUUUUACUAAAACUCUAAAGUGUGACUAAAGAAAUGCCUGGGAGAAAGCUAGACACACACACACACACACACACACACACACACACUCUCUAUCACAAACACACAUGUUCUCUCUCUCCCCUCUGGUCUGAACUGGCCUCGUAUGCAGGACACUGACCUGCGGCUCGGUCGGCCGCGUUGCCCCAUGUUAAUGCCUCUCCCUGUGAAACCCCCACCCCCCCCCACCGCCUGCCCAGUGUUCAGACUACCUGUUCAUUAUGCUGCAGCUGAACAGUAGUCCGCACAUUGGUUAGGCUGGGCCGGGACACGCACGCAUCAGCAAAGACCAGGCUAUAACUUUCUAUCUUUGAGAUGCAGGACAGAGACUCGGCGGUCAGGACGAACCAGUACUCCUUGGAUCCUCCCUUCAUGAAGCUGAUGUUGAUGGUGAGCCAGCCUUUACGGAUCACCUGCGUAGAGGACGAGAGGGAAAACGUCACACAUGCGCACGCACGCGCGUGCGCGCACACACACACAGGCACACACGCGCGCGCACACACACACACACACAUGCACACACGCGCACACACACACACAGGCACACACGCGCGCGCACACACACACGCACGCACUUACCUGUACCGUUUUAACAACAAUCUGUACAGCGUUUUGGCAAAAUUAUUCUUCUAUCUUUCUUGUUUUUACCAUUCAUUCAAAAUUCAUUUUAUUAAAUGUUUUGUUUUUUAAUUUGUAUUUCUGACAUUUAUGAUAUUAAAAAAAUUAUCAUUUUAA